ACGAACGCUGGCGGCGUGCCUAAUCCCUGCAAGUCGCGCGAAGUUUUUCUGGUGCUUGCACCGGAAAAACUUAGCGGCGAACGGGUGAGUAACACGUAAAGAACCUGCCUCAUAGACUGGGACAACUAUUGGAAACGAUAGCUAAUACCGGAUAACAGCAUUAACUGCAUGGUUGAUGUUUAAAAGUUGGUUUUGCUAACACUAUGAGAUGGCUUUGCGGUGCAUUAGCUAGUUGGUGGGGUAAAGGCCUACCAAGGCGACGAUGCAUAGCCGACCUGAGAGGGUGAUCGGCCACACUGGGACUGAGACACGGCCCAGACUCCUACGGGAGGCAGCAGUAGGGAAUCUUCCGCAAUGGGCGAAAGCCUGACGGAGCAACGCCGCGUGAGUGAAGAAGGAUUUCGGUUCGUAAAGCUCUGUUGUUAGGGAAGAAUGAUUGUGUAGUAACUAUACACAGUAGAGACGGUACCUAACCAGAAAGCCACGGCUAACUACGUG
rnacentral:rRNA from 1 species